GUCCUGCUGGAUAGCUCAGCUGGUUAGAGCGUGGUGCUGAUAACGCCAGGGUUGCAGGUUCAAUUCCCACAAGGGACA